rnacentral:rRNA from 1 species
GGUCAAGUGAAUAAGUGCAUCAGGCGGAUGCCUUGGCGAUGAUAGGCGACGAAGGACGUGUAAGCCUGCGAAAAGCGCGGGGGAGCUGGCAAUAAAGCUAUGAUUCCGCGAUGUCCGAAUGGGGAAACCCACUGCAUUCUGUGCAGUAUCCUAAGUUGAAUACAUAGGCUUAGAGAAGCGAACCCGGAGAACUGAACCAUCUAAGUACCCGGAGGAAAAGAAAUCAACCGAGAUUCCGCAAGUAGUGGCGAGCGAACGCGGAGGAGCCUGUACGUAAUAACUGUCGAGAUAGAAGAACAAGCUGGGAAGCUUGACCAUAGCGGGUGACAGUCCCGUAUUCGAAAUCUCAACGGCGGUACUAAGCGUACGAAAAGUAGGGCGGGACACGUGAAAUCCUGUCUGAAUAUGGGGGGACCAUCCUCCAAGGCUAAAUACUCAUCAUCGACCGAUAGUGAACCAGUACCGUGAGGGAAAGGCGAAAAGAACCCCGGGAGGGGAGUGAAACAGAACCUGAAACCUGAUGCAUACAAACAGUGGGAGCGCCCUAGUGGUGUGACUGCGUACCUUUUGUAUAAUGGGUCAACGACUUACAUUCAGUAGCGAGCUUAACCGGAUAGGGGAGGCGUAGGGAAACCGAGUCUUAAUAGGGCGAUGAGUUGCUGGGUGUAGACCCGAAACCGAGUGAUCUAUCCAUGGCCAGGUUGAAGGUGCCGUAACAGGUACUGGAGGACCGAACCCACGCAUGUUGCAAAAUGCGGGGAUGAGCUGUGGGUAGGGGUGAAAGGCUAAACAAACUCGGAGAUAGCUGGUUCUCCCCGAAAACUAUUUAGGUAGUGCCUCGAGCAAGACACUGAUGGGGGUAAAGCACUGUUAUGGCUAGGGGGUUAUUGCAACUUACCAACCCAUGGCAAACUCAGAAUACCAUCAAGUGGUUCCUCGGGAGACAGACAGCGGGUGCUAACGUCCGUUGUCAAGAGGGAAACAACCCAGACCGCCGGCUAAGGUCCCAAAUGAUAGAUUAAGUGGUAAACGAAGUGGGAAGGCACAGACAGCCAGGAUGUUGGCUUAGAAGCAGCCAUCAUUUAAAGAAAGCGUAAUAGCUCACUGGUCGAGUCGUCCUGCGCGGAAGAUGUAACGGGGCUCAAAUCUAUAACCGAAGCUGCGGAUGCCGGUUUACCGGCAUGGUAGGGGAGCGUUCUGUAGGCUGAUGAAGGUGCAUUGUAAAGUGUGCUGGAGGUAUCAGAAGUGCGAAUGUUGACAUGAGUAGCGAUAAAGCGGGUGAAAAGCCCGCUCGCCGAAAGCCCAAGGUUUCCUACGCAACGUUCAUCGGCGUAGGGUAAGUCGGCCCCUAAGGCGAGGCAGAAAUGCGUAGUCGAUGGGAAACAGGUUAAUAUUCCUGUACUUGAUUCAAAUGCGAUGUGGGGACGGAGAAGGUUAGGUUGGCAAGCUGUUGGAAUAGCUUGUUUAAGCCGGUAGGUGGAAGACUUAGGCAAAUCCGGGUUUUCUUAACACCGAGAAGUGAUGACGAGUGUCUACGGACACGAAGCAACCGAUACCACGCUUCCAGGAAAAGCCACUAAGCUUCAGUUUGAAUCGAACCGUACCGCAAACCGACACAGGUGGGCAGGAUGAGAAUUCUAAGGCGCUUGAGAGAACUCGGGAGAAGGAACUCGGCAAAUUGAUACCGUAACUUCGGGAGAAGGUAUGCCCUCUAAGGUUAAGGACUUGCUCCGUAAGCCCCGGAGGGUCGCAGAGAAUAGGUGGCUGCGACUGUUUAUUAAAAACACAGCACUCUGCCAACACGAAAGUGGACGUAUAGGGUGUGACGCCUGCCCGGUGCCGGAAGGUUAAUUGAAGAUGUGCAAGCAUCGGAUCGAAGCCCCGGUAAACGGCGGCCGUAACUAUAACGGUCCUAAGGUAGCGAAAUUCCUUGUCGGGUAAGUUCCGACCCGCACGAAUGGCGUAACGAUGGCCACACUGUCUCCUCCCGAGACUCAGCGAAGUUGAAGUGGUUGUGAAGAUGCAAUCUACCCGCUGCUAGACGGAAAGACCCCGUGAACCUUUACUGUAGCUUUGCAUUGGACUUUGAAGUCACUUGUGUAGGAUAGGUGGGAGGCUUGGAAGCAGAGACGCCAGUCUCUGUGGAGUCGUCCUUGAAAUACCACCCUGGUGUCUUUGAGGUUCUAACCCAGACCCGUCAUCCGGGUCGGGGACCGUGCAUGGUAGGCAGUUUGACUGGGGCGGUCUCCUCCCAAAGCGUAACGGAGGAGUUCGAAGGUUACCUAGGUCCGGUCGGAAAUCGGACUGAUAGUGCAAUGGCAAAAGGUAGCUUAACUGCGAGACCGACAAGUCGGGCAGGUGCGAAAGCAGGACAUAGUGAUCCGGUGGUUCUGUAUGGAAGGGCCAUCGCUCAACGGAUAAAAGGUACUCCGGGGAUAACAGGCUGAUUCCGCCCAAGAGUUCAUAUCGACGGCGGAGUUUGGCACCUCGAUGUCGGCUCAUCACAUCCUGGGGCUGUAGUCGGUCCCAAGGGUAUGGCUGUUCGCCAUUUAAAGUGGUACGUGAGCUGGGUUUAAAACGUCGUGAGACAGUUUGGUCCCUAUCUGCAGUGGGCGUUGGAAGUUUGACGGGGGCUGCUCCUAGUACGAGAGGACCGGAGUGGACGAACCUCUGGUGUACCGGUUGUAACGCCAGUUGCAUAGCCGGGUAGCUAAGUUCGGAAGAGAUAAGCGCUGAAAGCAUCUAAGCGCGAAACUCGCCUGAAGAUGAGACUUCCCUUGCGGUUUAACCGCACUAAAGGGUCGUUCGAGACCAGGACGUUGAUAGGUGGGGUGUGGAAGCGCGGUAACGCGUGAAGCUAACCCAUACUAAUUGCCCGUGAGGCUUGACUCU